UACUUGCCCAUGUUCUAUCUCACUGAUUUCCUCUUGCGUCUUUAUCAUUUCUUCCACACUGCAUACAUUGGCUUAAUUUGCUCUUUUUCUAGCUUCUUAAGGUAGACCUUCUCUUUUGCAGUAGAGAAUUUAAUGCUAUAAAGUCUCCUUCAAGUGCUGCUUUAGCUGAAUCCCACCGAUUCUGAUGCUUCUAUUUUCACUGAAUUCAAGAUAUUUCUCAUUCCCCUUUUGACUUUUCUUUGCUGUAUAGGUUUAAAAGUAUAAUGCUUAAUUUUCCAAUUGCUUCAGGACUUUUCUAAACAUCUAUUGUUGAGAUCUAAUUUUUGGUGUGGUCAGAAGGCAGACUUGUAUAAUUUCAUUUUAUCAAUUUAUUGAUAUGUUUUAUGGUCUAGCAUAGGUUCAACAAACUUUUUCUACAAAGAACUAAACAGUAAUUACAGAGGCUACAGAGGGUCUCCACUGUAUGUUUUCUUUGUUCCUUCUUCUUAGUGUGCUUUUAAACACAUAAAGCCACUUGUAGCCCACAAGCUGCACAAAACCAAGCCACAGGCUGAAUCUCCCCACAGCCUGUGGUUUGCCAGCCAAUGGCCUUGCAAAUGAUAUGGUCCAUCUUGGUCAAAGUGGCCUGUGCCCUGGAAAGUAGCUUUUAUUCUGCUGCCGAUAGGUGGGCAGCUCCAUCAUGUUGGUGGAUAACGCUCUUCAGGUCUCCAUAGCCUCCCUGUUUUUGUGGCUACUUGUUCCAUCAAUUAACGAGAGUGGAGGCUGUGAUCGCCAACUACAGCCGUGGACGUACGUCUCCUUUUGAUUCUGCAAGUUUCAGCUUCAUGUGUUUGAAUUUAUCUUAUUGCAGGCGUGCAUAUUUAGGAUUGGUGUGUCUCCCGCCUCCCUGAUCAUCUGGCAUGUCCCUCCUUUUCUCUGGCAGCCUUGUCUGCCGUUAACAGAGCGCGCCACUCCCGUGGUUCACACGGUACAGCCCGCAACAUCCUUUACUGCCAACCUACAUGUGCCUUCAUAUUUAAAGGGUUUCUUCUGGGAGUUCCCGUCAUGGCUCAGGGGUUAAGGAUCUGGUGUUGCCGUGAGCUAUGGUGUAGACUGCAGACGUGGCUUGGAUCCUGCGUUGCUGUGGCUCUAGCGUAGGCCAGUGGUUACGGCUCUGAUUGGACCCCUAGCCUGGGAAACUCCAUAUGCCACGGGAGCGGCCCUAGAAGGGCCAAAAAGACAAAAAAAAGAAAUUAUAAUAAAAAAAAUUGUAUACAACAAACAAGAAAUCAGUAAAACAAAUAAUUAAGGCUAAAUAAUUACUGAUAAAAUAGUUAUGAAGCUAAGUGCAAGAUUCAAAAAGAAUCCAUACACUGGAAAGGUUAGUUGUUGAAUGAUCUGCCAUUGAAAACCUCUAUGAUUCCGGUAACAACAACAAGAGAAAACAGCCUGGCCCAGGGCCCUUCCUUCAGCCUCUCCAUCCAAGCCUGACCUCAUCUUUGCACACACUCACCAGCAUUCACGUGCAGUGAGCCUGCCCUACCACACACCCCCAGCAUCCCCGUUCUGUCCUCACCAGUUACUGCUACUAGCAAGCUCUGGGUUACCUAUUAACAUGAUAAGGAAUCCUAAUAUAUCUUUAAAUCACCGAUCACAUUUUUUCAUAAAAUAGAGCCGAGGUCAAUUCCCUGAGUUCCUAUCGUGGCGCAGCAAAAACGAAUCUGACUAGGAACCACGAGGUUGAGGGUUCAAUCCCUGGCCUCGCUCAGUGGGUUAAGGAUCCGGCAUUGCCAAGAGCUGUGGUGUGGAUCGUAGAUGCAGCUCAGAUCUGGCAUUGCUGUGGCUCUGGCGCAGGCCAGCAGCAACUGCUCUGAUUAGACCCAUAGCCUGGAAACCUCCAUAUGCCACAAGUGUGGCCCUAAAAAGACAAAAACAAAACAAAACAAAAAACCCCAGAGGUCAAUUCUGUGGCAUGUCAUUUUAUCACUCUUUCACUAUUAACCAAAUAAGCAUCCUUUUCGCACAUUCGUCUUAUUAGAAUUAUACCUAGUAGACAUUUCUACUGAUAAUUAGGAGAAGAGGGUGCUAAGAUAAUUGUCUUAUUGAAGAAAAGCAGAGAUAACAUUAAGUUUAAAAAGUCAGAAGAGGGUGGAGGGUGGGGGAUGCACUGAGGGUUUGGGAUGGAAAUGCUAUAAAAAUUUGGUUGUGAUGAUUGUUGUACAUCUAUCAAUGCAAUACAUUCAUUAAGUAAUUUAAAAAAAAAAGUCAGGAGUUCCUGUCGUGGCGCAGUGGUUAACGAACCCGACUAGGAACCAUGAGGUUGCGGGUUCGAUCCCUGCCCUUGCUCAGUGGGUUAACGAUCCGGCGUUG
rnacentral:lncRNA from 1 species